UCACACAAAACAUCGAUGGCUGAGAAGAUCAAACAACAACUUCUAAGCAACACGGUACCUAUCCAAUGGAUCUUUGAAAAUGAUGCGUUCAUGGUACACUCUCCAAGCAUAGUCCUCAAAAUCAAAAGAGUUGAACACCCUCUUCUCUAGUUCUUCACCACCAUCAUUGCUUUCUUCAUCAACUUCUUCUUCCUUUUGUUCCUUGUUGCAGGUUGCCUUGGGAAGGAGUGGAGCCACUCUGCUAUCUGUUGGAAGAGUUAUCAGCAAUGACAUUGUUAUGCAGCGUGAACCAUUUUCAUCUCCCACUGUGGCCAUUGGUCUGCCUCUCACUUUCUUUAACUUGCCAUUGCUCCACAUCUGCACAGUAAUUGUUUAAAUUCAUAUAGUAUCCCACUUUAUAAAUGCAUCACCCCUAGGAUUAAUGUAAUGUGCUCUUCAAAAUAAAAUAAUUUAUAAAAAAAGAUACAUGAUAGUAUGAUACAAAAUUGAACAAAUAAUGAAUCUUAUAAACUUUUUAAGAAAUAUGAAACCAACUACUAAGAAACUAAGGCAUCACACACACAAAAACACUUAUGGGGCAUUGUAUAUGAUUUUUUUCCUCCAUAUGAAAUUGAAUUCAUCUUCUAUUCUUAGGAAAUGAUGUGUGGUAUAACAUUUGAGAUUUGAGGCUUUUGCCUAGUCCACUUUUUCUGAGCUGAAUUGAAGAUUUUUCUAAAUGAAAAAUGAAGAACAGACACACCCUGACAUAGGGACAUUGCUACACAGUGCAUUGUGAUCCACCUUGCUAAAGAAGGGGGCCCAACCAACAUAAAUUAUCUGCAGGAUCAAAAUCAGAAUUUGCAUGCCAAAAUGUAUGACCGAAAAGAACAAUGAUUACUUUAUGCAUACGUAAUAAAAUAUUUUAAUUAUAACUUCAUUAUCAGUCUUAAAAGAGAAAAAAAAAAACAUGCACUGACCGCGUAAAUUUUUUUACAUAAUAAUUUAGCAUGUAUAAAUUUUUUUAUUUUUAUAAUAAUUGUUUUAAAAUAAAUUAUUUAUGAUUGAAAUAUAUUCAUAACCUGUUAAUAUAUUUAUAUUAAAUUCUUCUUAAAAAUACAAAAUAAUGUAGAAUUACAUCACUAAAGUAACAUUUCUCUCGUAAAAGAAGACUCCAUACUAAAAAAAGGUUUAAUUAUUAAUUUGUUUGCACUUUACUGUUUUGACCUUUAUGUAAAAAUUGAAAAUUUUAUUCUUUGAACAAGUAAAUAUAAUGUAAUUUGGUUUCUAAUGUUAGUUUUUUUUUUUUAACUUCGCUAAAGUUAACUUUAGCCAUUGUAACAUCCAGACAAAAUUUUUCCAACUAUAUAAAAUCCCAAAAAGAAAUCUAGCAAUUGUUAAGCCGUCUAAAAUUCUUUCCACGAUAGAAUUUUUCUAACAAUUGGUAAACCGUGAUAAAUAUUGUAGUUCUUCCAUAAAUUUUGUAGCGAUCAUAACAGCUACACUGUCAACCACGUUAGUAUGGCUAUAAAAGUAACAAAACACAUUAAAUUUAUUUGUACUAAAACUUACAGUGUUUACAUAUAGAAUUAAAAUAAUAAAGUGUAAAGAAGUAUAACAACCAAAAUAGAUUCAUUCAUAUAACUUAUAAUGCCUGCCUCAUUAGGCGAAAUCACAUAGUUCAAAUAAAACGUGAUUAGUUCAGUUUGUGUUUUCAAACCUUGUUCAAACUUCAAAUUAUACAUACAGGUGUCAAAAUCAAACUAUGGAUGUACCUAAGGGACAAUAAAGUAAUUACAAGUCAUAAAUAUAUAAUUUUAUACUAGCCACCAUAUGAUUACCUAACAAACUAACAAACUUAUACACAAGCUUUUCCGAUUUUCCCCCAAACCAUAACUAAGGAGAAAAAAAAAAGAGAAAUUACUAUGUAUUAAUAGUUUAAACAAUUAUUCAAUCAUAAAUUAUUGACUCUUAAAAAUAAUUAUUUUAAAAUCAUUUAAAAGAUAAUUAAUAAUUGAAUGUUAGUUUAUACCCUACCAUUAAUCCCAAUUGCUACACACUUAAUCCCUAUACACUUCAUGCUUUAAGCUAGCAAACUGUGUGUCCUCUAAGUGGAAUCUUGAUCCAACCAUUAAGCUUUAACCUAUACACACUUGGAUAAAAUACAAUCGGUAGUGGUAAUAUCCCUCCUGAUCGGACCCUACAACCGUACGUCAUUAAAUCAGGGGUUGAUAUCUCGCCUAGUCAUUGCCAGGGAUACGGAUAUUCCAUCUAGUUGGCAUCUACGUUAUAACAUAUAAACAUUUUGAUAGCCAUAAUAUUCUGAAUGUGAUCAUAGGGGAAAAAGGUACAAUGAACAAUGAUAAAUGGCUUGUUGGUUGCCCUAAGAAAGCAGGUGAGACAAAUUUUACUUGAGUGCUUUUCAAAUAGGUCAUCUCUAUUAAGAGAAAAUUUGUUCUAGAAUGAGUUUCCAUAUCAAUGUAUAAACAUUAAAAGUAAAAUUAAUAAUCUUAAAAUUAUCAAUAAAUAAACAAACAAUCUUAAAAGAGACCGGAGAACAAAAUUAACAAAUAUCCAAAACAUAAAACAAACAAGUUGCAGUAAUUAAGAAGCCACAGCCAUUAUGUCUGAACAAAAACAUUAAUCAAUUAAAAAAUAAUAAUUUACCUGAGCAAUGUCACCAACAGUGACCAAAAUCGAGUCCACGUGUGGCAGCACAGAAACCCAUCCCGAAUCCGACAGCAAUGAGUAUUUCAGAUUCCUUAUCUGGUACUGCAAUCCGAUUACAAACGGGUAAAACCCACCCGAUUUGUUCCCGGACAGAGACUCCGAAACCCACAGAACCGAACAGAACCGGUUCGGGUCAUCCCCAAGCGGAUUCUCACACCCCAAGUCCUUUUGUUAACCCAUCAACGAUCUUUAAACCCAGCAUCUCCAGUUCGCGCGCAAACUUGCGCAGGGAAAAGAGUGCCAACUCGUUCGACUCGGUCGAACACGCCGAGUCGAAGCGGAACGACUCGGCGAGCUCGUCUUCGUCUUCGUCGUCGCCGCCGUAUCCGAGAGGCCAGUUUUUGGGAAAGAGAGAGUUCUUCUGUUCUUUGGAAAGGUCAAAGAGGGCAAGCGCUUCCGACUCGGCCGAGUUGGCGAGUUCGGAGGGGACUGAGUGAUCGGUGAGUUGCGCGUAACCGAGUUUUGAAACGCAGGAGAAUACGUCGUUUAGGGAGAGGGAGGGGGGAGACGUGGCGGCUGCGGAGGAAGGCGAGGGGAGGCGCGUGGGAAGGGAGAGCGUGGGCGGGAGGCGGUGGAGGAGGCAGGAGAGCGCGUCGGCGGCGUCGGAGGAGGACAUGAUGUUGUCGUGGUGCGCCGCCGGGGUUGGCGGCAGAGCUGAGGUGGCACUGCCGAAGAGGUUUGGCACUUGAGCUGAAGACGCCAUUACGUGAGAGAAUAAUAAGAAAUAGUGUGAAAUUUUGGGACCCUGUGGGUUGUUCUUAUAUGUUGGGCUCGUUGUUGUGGUGAAUGUGCGAGCGUGCAAAAUAUGUGGCACAAAGGACGAUUCACACGUGUGAUGGGCCCGUUUCCAUUUCCAUUUUUCAGGACGUCUGAUAUGCUUUUUUUGGUUAUAAAAAUGAGACAAUCUAGUUAACAAUGUCGGAGUUGGCAGGCAAUAUAGACAAUAUUGGGAUUUUUUUUAACGCAUUUGGCAAGAUCAUAAAAAGAAAAAUUCUUUUUUUUUUUGCAGAUUUUAAUUUAGCAUAAUUAAUUAUAUUACUAGUAUCUCUCUUCCAUAAUUGUAAAAUUUUGUUUUAUUUUUAAAAUGUAUUAAUGUUUUACAAAUUUAAAAUCUUAUUAAUUAAUUAUUUGUUUAGUUUAUAUCCUUAUUUAAAACUGUUUUAUAAUAGUAAUUUAUUAUAAAUAAUAAUGCAUUUGUUUGUUGGGAUUAACAUAUGUAGAUAUUAGUACAAGUACAAUACAUACAAUUUUUGGUGGGCAAAAAGAACGUUGUACAACAAUAGUGCGGUAAUUGGUAAGAAAGAACUCAACGUUCGCAACUUACAAAGACUUUAUCGCUCAAGUAAAAAAUUAUGAGAGGUAACGAUGUGACGUUAAUAAAGGAAUAGAUGAAGGAUCUAAGACACAUGCCAAUCUAUAUAUAUGUCAAAUGCGUGAUAAGCUAUUGACAAUUAUUCCAAAUUAUGAGUUACAUGGCAUGAUAGUAACAUUGCACAUAACACAAGUUGAAGUUGAUUUGGAUUUCUCAGUAUAACACAUGUCGACCACAAAGGUCAAACAAAGAAGAUGUCUUCCAAGGUUGGCCUUGUGUUGAUGUCACUCCCAAGUAUAAAACUUGAGUUGAAUGUCACAAGUACAAAGUAUGAUGUCCCAAAUCAAUUCUAUGUGAUUGAUUUGUGCAGUGGGCAGAUAGACAAAAAUCAGCAAAUUGAAAGUCAGUUCAAAAUAUUGAAAAAAAAUGUUUUAACCUAAAUACAAUGAUGUUUAUAUGUUAGUAUAUUAAAUAUUUUUUUUGUAUGUAUUGAUAUUAAAUUUAAAUAUCAACAGAUAUAAAACUCAAGAAGUAUAUAAAUAUAUUUACAUUCAUCGAUAAACUCAUUUAAGUAGAAGAAUAAAAUGUUUCAAGCCUUUUCUCACUUAUGUUUUUAAUCCUCUUUUUGUGUUUUGAUUUUAUUUGAAGUCUCCUUCCCUCGUUUGGUACUUUGGCCUCUUUUUAGACAUUAUACUAAUGUUUUUUUUUAAAUGACUUAUUUAUUUGUAAUUAAGAAUGUAAAUGAAUUGAGUUAAUUAAUUUGAACAUUAAAAUAGUCUUAUACAGAAGAUACAUGCAGGAAAUAAAACUCACACACAACAUAUAAUGUAGGGCUAUAAUUUAUUCCACAUUUACUUUAAUUUAUUUUAGAAAAAUAAUUACUUUCUUAACUCACUUAUUCAAAUAGCUUAAGGAAAAUAAUUAAUUCUUAAAAUUUAAAUUUUCUUAAAUAAACAGUUAUAUCUUCCCAUCUAAUAUUUUUAUUUUUACCAAUUCUAUUUAAAUUUAGUUAUGUACUUUUAUUUAACUUUUUAUUGCCACAUUUGAUUGCUGAUGUGGGUAAGAUCUUGUUUAGUAACACUUUCAUUUAAUCAAUUGUUUAAAUAAGUUGAAUGUAACCUAGUCGUUUUGGUUUAUAGAGAACCCUGCCACCCCACUACAGACUAAGAG
rnacentral:lncRNA from 1 species